CUUGAGUGUCACUUUGAAUGAGUCAGAGAGGAUAACGAGCUGGUGCAGGAGAAUGUGUGAUGUGAUAUCAUGUCUUUUCAUGUGCUUCUCAGUUCUACCAAGGUUACUUCUUUAUGAAUAAUCAAGAAUGGAAAAGAUGUAAAGAUUGGACUCUGAAGUAAACAGAAAGCUUACUCAACUCAUACCACUACACUCAUUAGGACAGGUGUUUGAAAUACGCCUGCAAUGCAUGCUUUCUCUUGAAGAUGGACUGCACUGAGCUGCCUGGAGGAAUGAAACUUGCUUGUCCUGGCUUUUCUCAGUGUACUUUGAAAGACGUGGGAGGGGGACAUCAGGGUGCUCAGAUCUGAGUACCUUCCCUUGUUAGUGCUGUAAGUUCUUUCUUAGCAGAGGAAACUGUGACCAAGUGAAUAUAUGUCAUUAUCUCAAAUGAAACAUGAUUGUAUUUCCUAUUUUUUCUAACAGCACAGAGGUCAUUCUAGACAUUUCCAAUCCUGUAAGUUCAUCAAUUUCAUCAGUUCUGACCUUUCCUUCAUUUUUUGUUACUGCAACUGUAUCUCAGCUUAGGCUAGCGGAUGCUUCACUUGUCAUUUUUGUCCCUGGCCCAUGGAGACAACUGAGAUCCAGGCACUCAAAAACCCAGCACGGACGUGCACUCUGCUGUUCAAGCUGGUUCCAGGCAUACAAGGAUAUAAGCAUGAAAAUGAUACUGUUCUAUACAUACCUGUUACCAAAAAGUAAUCUCAAUCAUCUUUGAACUGGUGACCAAAACUCUAAGCAUGUAAUAAUUUAACUUGCUUUAUUACAUAAUAAUAAUUUAAGAUAAAUCAAAAUUUGUUAAAAUUUAUUGAGUAAAAUUUCCAGUGGGUGUUUUUUCCUCCAGGAAAUGUAAGGAGUUCUGCAACAUGAAAAUGGGUUGAAAAGCCUCUAUCUAAAGACAUACCUCUGUGCCACAUAUUUUCUUCAGAGCUACCGAUAUGUUCUGGUGUUACUUAUGAUAGAGUUUCCAUCCAGAACUUGUCUGAAAUCUCACAGCAAACUGACAGAAGCCGUGGGAGAAACUGAUCGAUAAUUCCCAGUAUAAUUUGUGAUAUACUGCUGCAUGACAGUGAAAUUAAAAUGUUAUUGAAUUAGAGAAAAUAUUUGAUUGGUAUAAGUGAGUAUUUGGCCAGAAUUUGACCUGUGGAAAGCUGGAUAAAGGUGGUAUCACAGUAGUUUUGAAGAAGUAAAAAACAUUUUUUAAAUAGUUCUGUUUACUGAAUACAAAGGAUUUAACGCUAUCUUAAAAGUGAAUAAAAAAUAAAAAGCACCUCUCUCACCUGACUCUCAGACAGCGUGAUGCUGAAGAGGAGGUGCCACCAGGGCUGGCAUGCAUGCUGCAGGCUGCUGAGGAGGGCAGGAGUAAAUGGUACUGGUGCCAUGUCUGCUGGCCACGUCUACAUCUCGAGAGGUGGAAGGCAGUGUGGAGCACGGAGCUCAGCAGAAACCUGACCGAGUUUUGCCUGUGGUCUUUUUUUUUAAUAGGUCUGCUUCAGACUUAUACAGAUUUCACUGUAAUUGCUAGUCAUGACAGUCUUCAAAUGCUGAAGGUGAUCAAAGGCAUCAGCUUAAAAAUACAAAGCUGGCAUUACAAGGAAGUGAUUUAACCUCUCUCGGUAGGCAGGUGUGUGUUGGGAGCAGAGAGGGGUUCAUUGCUUCAGGCAUCUAAAUUGCAGCUGUAGUGAAAAGCAGCAAUUUGUCUAAAUCCAUGACAAAAAUCCUUCUAAACUGUCCUAACAGAUCUGCUCUGUAACCUGACUGUACGGGGAAAGAAUAAUUUUAAA
ensembl:lncRNA